rnacentral:rRNA from 1 species
UACGUAGGGUCCGAGCGUUGUCCGGAUUUAUUGGGCGUAAAGAGCGUGUAGGCGGUCCGGUAAGUCGGCUGUGAAAGUCCAGGGCUCAACCCUGGGAUGCCGGUCGAUGCUGCCGGACUAGAGUUCGGAAGAGGCGAGUGGAAUUCCCGGUGUAGCGGUGAAAUGCGCAGAUAUCGGGAGGAACACCUAUGGCGAAGGCAGCUCGCUGGGACGUUACUGACGCUGAGACGCGAAAGCGUGGGGAGCAAACAGG